AAACGAAGCGGGCGUUCUUUCCUAAUAAAACGGAAGAGGGAGAUCAAAAAUCGAGAAUAGAAUUCGCGUGAAAAUGAAGAAAAUCGUCCCUUAUCAAGCUUGCCCGAAACGCACGCGAGAUCCACAGUAUUCCGUAUGAACGCGCUGCCUGUCGCAAAAACUGGAUAUUAAAUUGUUUUCUUUCCUCUGUAAGAAGAUCGAGUCCCUGGAAUGGGUUCGCCCCGAGAUAGGGAUGGUGGCUCCGUAGAGCAGUGCGGCUCUUCCGCUGUCCGGUGCGCUCGCGUCGGCCCUUGAAAAACAGAGUGAGGGAGUGUGAUUUUCGUGCCGGACCGUACCCACAUCUGCAGCAGGUCUCCAAGGUGAACAGCCUCU
rnacentral:rRNA from 1 species